rnacentral:rRNA from 1 species
CUGGUGGCGAGUGGCGAACGGGUGAGUAAUAUAUCGGAACGUACCCUAGAGUGGGGGAUAACGUAGCGAAAGUUACGCUAAUACCGCAUACGAUCUAAGGAUGAAAGUGGGGGAUCGCAAGACCUCAUGCUCGUGGAGCGGCCGAUAUCUGAUUAGCUAGUUGGUAGGGUAAAAGCCUACCAAGGCAUCGAUCAGUAGCUGGUCUGAGAGGACGACCAGCCACACUGGAACUGAGACACGGUCCAGACUCCUACGGGAGGCAGCAGUGGGGAAUUUUGGACAAUGGGCGAAAGCCUGAUCCAGCAAUGCCGCGUGAGUGAAGAAGGCCUUCGGGUUGUAAAGCUCUUUUGUCAGGGAAGAAACGGUGAGAGCUAAUAUCUCUUGCUAAUGACGGUACCUGAAGAAUAAGCACCGGCUAACUACGUGCCAGCAGCCGCGGUAAUACGUAGGGUGCAAGCGUUAAUCGGAAUUACUGGGCGUAAAGCGUGCGCAGGCGGUUUUGUAAGUCUGAUGUGAAAUCCCCGGGCUCAACCUGGGAAUUGCAUUGGAGACUGCAAGGCUAGAAUCUGGCAGAGGGGGGUAGAAUUCCACGUGUAGCAGUGAAAUGCGUAGAUAUGUGGAGGAACACCGAUGGCGAAGGCAGCCCCCUGGGUCAAGAUUGACGCUCAUGCACGAAAGCGUGGGGAGCAAACAGGAUUAGAUACCCUGGUAGUCCACGCCCUAAACGAUGUCUACUAGUUGUCGGGUCUUAAUUGACUUGGUAACGCAGCUAACGCGUGAAGUAGACCGCCUGGGGAGUACGGUCGCAAGAUUAAAACUCAAAGGAAUUGACGGGGACCCGCACAAGCGGUGGAUGAUGUGGAUUAAUUCGAUGCAACGCGAAAAACCUUACCUACCCUUGACAUGGCUGGAAUCCUCGAGAGAUUGAGGAGUGCUCGAAAGAGAACCAGUACACAGGUGCUGCAUGGCUGUCGUCAGCUCGUGUCGUGAGAUGUUGGGUUAAGUCCCGCAACGAGCGCAACCCUUGUCAUUAGUUGCUACGAAAGGGCACUCUAAUGAGACUGCCGGUGACAAACCGGAGGAAGGUGGGGAUGACGUCAAGUCCUCAUGGCCCUUAUGGGUAGGGCUUCACACGUCAUACAAUGGUACAUACAGAGCGCCGCCAACCCGCGAGGGGGAGCUAAUCGCAGAAAGUGUAUCGUAGUCCGGAUUGUAGUCUGCAACUCGACUGCAUGAAGUUGGAAUCGCUAGUAAUCGCGGAUCAGCAUGUCGCGGUGAAUACGUUCCCGGGUCUUGUACACACC